CCGAAUUAAGAGAGGAAGGGGAAGAUUGCUCCAAGAUUGCUGACAUCCAUAGCAUACUAUCAAUGUGGAAAAUAUAUGAUGCAGUUGCAAUGCCUUGAGGGGUCCCGGCUAUUUCCAUUCAUCAUAAUCUUCCAAAAUUAUGUCAGCUGUGGGUGGUAACUUCCUUGGUGGGAUUUAUAUGCCUUGGAAGAAUGCUAAUUGAUGAAAGCUUGAUCUUCUAGGGGGCCAGACUUGGAAAGAGCAGAAAGGAAAUUCCCAGGAUUUGAAAUUGAAGAAUGACCUGAAGGGUACUUUCUCCGGAACAAUAAAGUCAUUGGCAAAAAACUCGGAGUUGUGUGUGGAAAAAAGAUGACUUGAGGACGAACAGUGUUGCACCUUCACUAUGGAGCUCAUCUCAGCAAGGAAAUUUUUUCCUGAUUCUAGGACACUUUAGGAUGCCAGAGAAGGAUCAUUUCCUGUUACAUAACUCGAAAAAACAUUACUCCAGUGUAGUCGCCUAGUAGGCGAGGGUGGGGUUUUCUGUCAAAGGCUUCAACUUCCAAGGAGCCAAUAAAUACUCAAACCGGCAGUUAUGUUUUAUUUGUUUCCUUCCCCUGCUAACUUGCUAUUUGUCUUCUAUUUAUAUGGCUUUAUUAAUGGAUAUAUCAGCAAGAAUCACUUGAUUUUAUUCGCUAUCAUACUUAUGUAGUGUUCAUAUAAGAGUUUCAGAAUGUUUCAUUAUAUGCAAUUGUGAAGGAAU